AAAAUUCUGGCUUUUUUGGGAGGGGUUACUAUAUAUAUAUAUCAUAUAAGGUGGAUUCCCAGGAUAAGGCUUAUCCAAUGCUCUCCAGAUAAGCUGACCCCUGUAAUUUCCCCAAAUGUAGGAAACUCCAUGGCAUCAUUUGUGGUAGUGGAGGACUGGGUUCAUGCUCUCCCUUCAU
ensembl:snRNA U1 U1 spliceosomal RNA